rnacentral:rRNA from 1 species
UGGGGAAUUUUGGACAAUGGGCGAAAGCCUGAUCCAGCAAUGCCGCGUGUGUGAAGAAGGCCUUCGGGUUGUAAAGCACUUUUGUCCGGAAAGAAAUCCUCUGGGUUAAUACCUCGGGGGGAUGACGGUACCGGAAGAAUAAGCACCGGCUAACUACGUGCCAGCAGCCGCGGUAAUACGUAGGGUGCAAGCGUUAAUCGGAAUUACUGGGCGUAAAGCGUGCGCAGGCGGUUUUGUAAGACGGAUGUGAAAUCCCCGGGCUUAACCUGGGAACUGCAUUCGUGACUGCAAGGCUAGAGUAUGGCAGAGGGGGGUAGAAUUCCACGUGUAGCAGUGAAAUGCGUAGAGAUGUGGAGGAAUACCGAUGGCGAAGGCAGCCCCCUGGGCCAAUACUGACGCUCAUGCACGAAAGCGUGGGGAGCAAAACAGGAUUCAGAUACCCUGGUAGUCCACGCCCUAAACGAUGUCAACUAGUUGUUGGGGAUUCAUUUCCUUAGUAACGUAGCUAACGCGUGAAGUUGACCGCCUGGGG